CGGAGGUUACUGCUAUCGAGGUUCGACUAAGCCAUGCGAGUCGAAUGUAGCAAUACAUGGCGAACUGCUCAGUAACACGUGGACAACCUGCCCUUAGGACGGGGAUAAACCCGGGAAACUGGGUAUAAUACCCGAUAGGUCUCGAUUGCUGGAAUGCAUCGAGAUUUAAAGCUCCGGCGCCCAAGGAUGGGUCUGCGGCCUAUCAGGUAGUAGUGGGUGUAGCGUACCUACUAGCCUACGACGGGUACGGGUUGUGAGAGCAAGAGCCCGGAGAUGGAUUCUGAGACACGAAUCCAGGCCCUACGGGGUGCAGCAGGCGCGAAAACUUUACAAUGCUGGCAACAGCGAUAAGGGAACCUCGAGUGCCAGGUUACAAAUCUGGCUGUCGAGAUGCCUAAAAAGCAUUUCAUAGCAAGGGCCGGGCAAGACCGGUGCCAGCCGCCGCGGUAACACCGGCGGCUCGAGUGGUAACCGUUAUUAUUGGGUCUAAAGGGUCUGUAGCCGGCCGGAUAAGUCUCUUGAGAAAUCUGGCAGCUUAACUGUCAGGCUUUCAGGAGAUACUGUCUGGCUCGAGGCCGGGAGAGGUGAGAGGUACUUCAGGGGUAGGGGUGAAAUCUUGUAAUCCUUGAAGGACCACCAGUGGCGAAGGCGUCUCACCAGAACGGACCCGACGGCAAGGGACGAAAGCUAGGGGCACGAACCGGAUUAGAUACCCGGGUAGUCCUAGCCGUAAACGAUACUCGCUAGGUGUCGGCCACGGUGCGACCGUUGUCGGUGCCGUAGGGAAGCCGUGAAGCGAGCCACCUGGGAAGUACGGCCGCAAGGCUGAAACUUAAAGGAAUUGGCGGGGGAGCACCACAACGGGUGGAGCUUGCGGUUUAAUUGGAUUCAACGCCGGG
rnacentral:rRNA from 1 species